GAUAAACGCUGGCGGCGUGCUUAACACAUGCAAGUCGAACGAAGCACUUUAACGGAACUCUUCGGGGGGAAGUUAUUGUGACUGAGUGGCGGACGGGUGAGUAACGCGUGGGUAACCUGCCUUGCACAGGGGGAUAACAGUUAGAAAUGACUGCUAAUACCGCAUAACCCGCUAGUACCGCAUGGUACAGACGGAAAAGAUUUAUCGGUGUAAGAUGGACCCGCGUCUGAUUAGCUGGUUGGUGGGGUAACGGCUCACCAAGGCGACGAUCAGUAGCCGGCUUGAGAGAGUGGACGGCCACAUUGGGACUGAGACACGGCCCAGACUCCUACGGGAGGCAGCAGUGGGGAAUAUUGCACAAUGGGGGAAACCCUGAUGCAGCGACGCCGCGUGAGUGAAGAAGUAUUUCGGUAUGUAAAGCUCUAUCAGCAGGGAAGAAAAUGACGGUACCUGACUAAGAAGCCCCGGCUAACUACGUGCCAGCCGCCGCCGUAAUAC
rnacentral:rRNA from 1 species